AAAGCCCUUUGUUUGGGGCUCAGACUUUCUGGACAUAUGUCCAGCUGGGCCAGUGAUGACCUUAAUAGACUCUCCUGAACCUUUUUUGGUCUCUCCAGUCUUUGAUUGUCCUGUAACAUUUCUGGGGGCUUAUCCGGGAUUGGAGAUGGCAGAUUUUCUGUCUUCUUUGCCUGUGGGCUAGAGCCCCAGGAUGUGGGAGAUCUGGGGUCCUUGGCACCGCUGGGAGAGUUUCAGCCUGGAAGGAGAAUGGCCCUCCCGCAUUCCAGAGCCUUCCCCUGACAGCACCAAAGGAACCAGUGGAAAGGGUUGCAGGACAGUCACAGGAGCAGUGCACAGACAUCUGAACCAUGGACCCAGUCUGGUGGAUGCAAGAGUGAAAGUGAGAGUGAAAGCGUGCCAUGAGGGAGGAAACGGGAG
rnacentral:lncRNA from 1 species